UGUUGCAUAGAGAGCGGCUGAUGUUUUAAUCAUGGCCGCAGGGCUCAUUGUGAUGUGCAGCCACCUCUGGGGUCUCUAAUUGUCUCAGGCCAGGCUGGCUCUGCUGAUCACCCUACGUCUGGAAUGGCUAAUGACUCGCAGUGAGAGUCUAAUCAGGAGGAUCCCCAGGAAACCCAAACAACGCCACGUGUCCAGCCAGAGGACGGAUCGGGUUUCCUUUCGCCUCCAGCUCCGGCACGGACCCUCCUGGUUUGCCUGAAAGUGAUUCCUGCCGCCUCAGAUCAGCGGAAAGAUGUGAGAGUUUGACUGACAGGCGAGCUCUGCGUCCCUUUAAAUCGAGCCAGGCCUGAAAAUGGAGAUCUUACAAGGUGGAGGUAGAGGCAAACCCGAGCCCACACCUCUGGACAGCAGGAUAGCAUCCAUCCUCGGGACGGCCAGCGGGUGUGGAAUCAUGUCAGAGAAGG
ensembl:lncRNA